UCCGGUUUGGCACCGGCAGUCUCCCUAGAGUUCCCGGCAUGACCCGCUGGCAACUAAGGACAGGGGUUGCGCUCGUUGCGCCACUUAAGGCAACACCUCACGGCACGAGCUGACGACAGCCAUGCACCACCUGUGCAGGCUCCGAAGAGCGCCCGCUUUCACGGGUUUCACCCUGCAUGUCAAGCCCAGGUAAGGUGGGGAUGACGUGGAACGGUUGGUU
rnacentral:misc_RNA from 1 species